AACGUAGGACACGAGCGUUAUCCGGAGUUACUGGGCGUAAAGGGCGGGUAGGUGGCAAUGUAAGGUUGGUGUGAAAGCCUUCGGCUUAACCGAGGGAGGACACUGACGACUGCAUAGCUCGAGGCAGAUAGAGGGGUGUAGAAUUCCGGGUGUAGUGGUGAAAUGCGUAGAGAUCCGGAGGAAUACCAGAGGCGAAGGCGGCACCCUGGGUCUGACCUGACACUGAUCCGCGACAGCAUGGGGAGCGAACGGG
rnacentral:rRNA from 1 species